rnacentral:rRNA from 1 species
GACGAACGCUGGCGGCGUGCUUAACACAUGUAAGUCGAACGAAGUGGCGAACGGGUGAGUAACGCGUAAUCAACCUGCCCUUCAGAGGGGGACAACAGUUGGAAACGACUGCUAAUCCCGCAUACUGAAGGAGGGGAUUGCGUCUGAUUAGCUAGUUGGAGGGGUACCGGCCCACAAAGGCGAUGAUCAGGCGCCGGUCUGAGAGGAUGAACGGCCAACUUGGGACUGAGGAAAGGCCCAGACUCCUACGGGAGGCAGCAGGGGGGAAUCUGCCGCAAUGGACGAAAGUCUGACGGAGCAACGCCGCGGGAGUGAUGACGGCCUUCGGGUUGUAAAGCUCUGUUAAUCGGGACGCGGUACCGGAAUAGAAAGCCACGGCUAACUACGUGCCAGCAGCCGCGGUAAUAC